GGCGGCAUGCCUUACACAUGCAAGUCGAACGGCAGCACGGGGGCAACCCUGGUGGCGAGUGGCGAACGGGUGAGUAAUACAUCGGAACGUGUCCUGUAGUGGGGGAUAGCCCGGCGAAAGCCGGAUUAAUACCGCAUACGAUCUACGGAAGAAAGCGGGGGAUCGCAAGACCUCGCGCUAUAGGGGCGGCCGAUGGCAGAUUAGCUAGUUGGUGGGGUAAAGGCCUACCAAGGCGACGAUCUGUAGCUGGUCUGAGAGGACGACCAGCCACACUGGGACUGAGACACGGCCCAGACUCCUACGGGAGGCAGCAGUGGGGAAUUUUGGACAAUGGGCGAAAGCCUGAUCCAGCAAUGCCGCGUGUGUGAAGAAGGCCUUCGGGUUGUAAAGCACUUUUGUCCGGAAAGAAAACCUCUUGGUUAAUACC
rnacentral:rRNA from 1 species